rnacentral:rRNA from 2 species
UACGUAGGGACCAAGCGUUGUUCGGAUUUACUGGGCGUAAAGGGCGCGUAGGCGGCAAUUCAAGUCAUCUGUGAAAUCUCCGGGCUUAACCCGGAACGGUCAGAUGAUACUGCUUUGCUAGAGUGCGGAAGGGGCAAUCGGAAUUCUUGGUGUAGCGGUGAAAUGCGUAGAUAUCAAGAGGAACACCUGAGGUGAAGACGGGUUGCUGGGCCGACACUGACGCUGAUAGCGCGAAAGCCAGGGGAGCAAACGGG